rnacentral:rRNA from 1 species
CCUACGGGAGGCAGCAGUGGGGAAUUUUGGACAAUGGGCGCAAGCCUGAUCCAGCCAUUCCGCGUGAGUGAAGAAGGCCUUCGGGUUGUAAAGCUCUUUCGCAAGGGAAGAAACGAUUUAGGUGAAUAAUCUAAGUUAAUGACGGUACCUUGAUAAGAAGCACCGGCUAACUACGUGCCAGCAGCCGCGGUAAUACGUAGGGUGCGAGCGUUAAUCGGAAUUACUGGGCGUAAAGCGUGCGCAGGCUGUUUUGUAAGUCAGAUGUGAAAUCCCCGAGCUCAACUUGGGAACUGCGUUUGAAACUACAAGACUAGAAUAUGUCAGAGGGGGGUAGAAUUCCACGUGUAGCAGUGAAAUGCGUAGAGAUGUGGAGGAAUAUCAAUGGCGAAGGCAGCCCCCUGGGAUAAUAUUGACGCUCAUGCACGAAAGCGUGGGGAGCAAACAGGAUUAGAUACCCUGGUAGUCCACGCCCUAAACGAUGUCAACUAGUUGUUGGUAGAGUAAAAUCUAUGAGUAACGCAGCUAACGCGUGAAGUUGACCGCCUGGGGAGUACGAUCGCAAGAUUAAAACUUAAAUGAAAUUGACGGNUAGAGAGAGCGAGGACGACACGAGGGAGGAG